rnacentral:rRNA from 1 species
GACGAACGCUGGCGGCGUGCUUAACACAUGCAAGUCGAACGGAAAGGCCCUGCUUUUGUGGGGUGCUCGAGUGGCGAACGGGUGAGUAACACGUGAGUAACCUGCCCUUGACUUUGGGAUAACUUCAGGAAACUGGGGCUAAUACCGGAUAGGAGCUCCUGCUGCAUGGUGGGGGUUGGAAAGUUUCGGCGGUUGGGGAUGGACUCGCGGCUUAUCAGCUUGUUGGUGGGGUAGUGGCUUACCAAGGCUUUGACGGGUAGCCGGCCUGAGAGGGUGACCGGCCACAUUGGGACUGAGAUACGGCCCAGACUCCUACGGGAGGCAGCAGUGGGGAAUAUUGCACAAUGGGCGGAAGCCUGAUGCAGCAACGCCGCGUGCGGGAUGACGGCCUUCGGGUUGUAAACCGCUUUCGCCUGUGACGAAGCGUGAGUGACGGUAAUGGGUAAAGAAGCACCGGCUAACUACGUGCCAGCAGCCGCGGUGAUACGUAGGGUGCGAGCGUUGUCCGGAUUUAUUGGGCGUAAAGGGCUCGUAGGUGGUUGAUCGCGUCGGAAGUGUAAUCUUGGGGCUUAACCCUGAGCGUGCUUUCGAUACGGGUUGACUUGAGGAAGGUAGGGGAGAAUGGAAUUCCUGGUGGGGCGGUGGAAUGCGCAGAUAUCAGGAGGAACACCAGUGGCGAAGGCGGUCCUCUGGGCCUUUCCUGACGCUGAGGAGCGAAAGCGUGGGGAGCGAACAGGCUUAGAUACCCUGGUAGUCCACGCUGUAAACGGUGGGUACUAGGUGUGGGGUCCAUUCCACGGGUUCCGUGCCGUAGCUAACGCUUUAAGUACCCCGCCUGGGGAGUACGGCCGCAAGGCUAAAACUCAAAGGAAUUGACGGGGCCCCGCACAAGCGGCGGAGCAUGCGGAUUAAUUCGAUGCAACGCGUAGAACCUUACCUGGGUUUGACAUGGAUCGGGAGUGCUCAGAGAUGGGUGUGCCUCUUUUGGGGUCGGUUCACAGGUGGUGCAUGGCUGUCGUCAGCUCGUGUCGUGAGAUGUUGGGUUAAGUCCCGCAACGAGCGCAACCCUUGUUCACUGUUGCCAGCACGUUAUGGUGGGGACUCAGUGGAGACCGCCGGGGUCAACUCGGAGGAAGGUGGGGAUGACGUCAAGUCAUCAUGCCCCUUAUGUCCAGGGCUUCACGCAUGCUACAAUGGCUGGUACAGAGAGUGGCGAGCCUGUGAGGGUGAGCGAAUCUCGGAAAGCCGGUCUCAGUUCGGAUUGGGGUCUGCAACUCGACCUCAUGAAGUCGGAGUCGCUAGUAAUCGCAGAUCAGCAACGCUGCGGUGAAUACGUUCCCGGGGCU